rnacentral:rRNA from 1 species
GAUGAACGCUGGCGGCGUGCCUAAUACAUGCAAGUCGAGCGAACAGACGAGGAGCUUGCUCCUCUGACGUUAGCGGCGGACGGGUGAGUAACACGUGUAUAACCUACCUAUAAGACUGGGAUAACUUCGGGAAACCGGAUCUAAUACCGGAUAAUAUAUUGAACCGCAUGGUUCAAUAGUGAAAGACGGUUUUGCUGUCACUUAUAGAUGGAUCCGCGCCGCAUUAGCUAGUUGGUAAGGUAACGGCUUACCAAGGCUACGAUGCGUAGCCGACCUGAGAGGGUGAUCGGCCACACUGGAACUGAGACACGGUCCAGACUCCUACGGGAGGCAGCAGUAGGGAAUCUUCCGCAAUGGGCGAAAGCCUGACGGAGCAACGCCGCGUGAGUGAUGAAGGUCUUCGGAUCGUAAAGCUCUGUUAUUAGGGAAGAACAAAUGUGUAAGUAAAUAUGCACGUCUUGACGGUACCUAAUCAGAAAGCAACGGCUAACUACGUG